GGUUCGUCCAAGCCGGACGCCUGGAGCGGUCACCUCCCGGGCCUCACGGCGGGGCCGGAGAAGGCCAGGGCUGGGGCGGGGCAGCCGUGCUCGGCCCCGGGCCAGGGUCUCCCGGUACCCGACCAGGCCCCGCCCUAGAGGGCUCGGCCCGGGGACAAACCCGCCGCUCGGAACCCGCCCAGUCCCGACCACGCCCGGGAAGGGGCCCCCUCUUCAAACCGCCGGGAACAUCGAACUGCGACGCGACCCCCGCCUGGCGACGCAGAUUCAGCAUCCUUUCGCUGGGCUGUGAACAGAAAGUCCUGAAUUUCCUCAAUUUUCGGAAGCAUGGCGACGAGGACCAGGAGCAGGCGCAGCCACCGGGAAAAA
rnacentral:antisense_RNA from 1 species